rnacentral:rRNA from 1 species
GAUGAACGCUGGCGGCGUGCCUAAUACAUGCAAGUCGAGCGAACAGAUGAGGAGCUUGCUCCUCUGACGUUAGCGGCGGACGGGUGAGUAACACGUGGAUAACCUACCUAUAAGACUGGGAUAACUUCGGGAAACCGGAGCUAAUACCGGAUAAUAUAUUGAACUGCAUGGUUCAAUAGUGAAAGACGGUUUUGCUGUCACUUAUAGAUGGAUCCGCGCCGCAUUAGCUAGUUGGUAAGGUAACGGCUUACCAAGGCAACGAUGCGUAGCCGACCUGAGAGGGUGAUCGGCCACACUGGAACUGAGACACGGUCCAGACUCCUACGGGAGGCAGCAGUAGGGAAUAUUCCGCAAUGGGCGAAAGCCUGACGGAGCAACGCCGCGUGAGUGAUGAAGGUCUUCGGAUCGUAAAACUCUGUUAUUAGGGAAGAACAAAUGUGUAAGUAACUAUGCACGUCUUGACGGUACCUAAUCAGAAAGCCACGGCUAACUACGUG